GGGGCAGCAUGGUCUUAGCUUGCUAAGGCCGAUGGCGACCGGCGCACGGGUGAGUAACACGUAUCCAACCUGCCGUCUACUUUUGGACAGCCUUCUGAAAGGAAGAUUAAUACAAGAUGGCAUCAUGAGUCCGCAUGUUCACAUGAUUAAAGGUAUUCCGGUAGACGAUGGGGGAUGCGUUCCAUUAGAUAGUAGGCGGGGUAACGGCCCACCUAGUCUUCGAUGGAUAGGGGUUCUGAGAGGAAGGUCCCCCACAUUGGAACUGAGACACGGUCCAAACUCCUACGGGAGGCAGCAGUGAGGAAUAUUGGUCAAUGGGCGAGAGCCUGAACCAGCCAAGUAGCGUGAAGGAUGACUGCCCUAUGGGUUGUAAACUUCUUUUAUAAAGGAAUAAAGUCGGGUAUGGAUACCCGUUUGCAUGUACUUUAUGAAUAAGGA
rnacentral:rRNA from 1 species